GACGAACGCUGGCGGCGUGCUUAACACAUGCAAGUCGAACGGUGAAGCUCCAGCUUGCUGGAGUGGAUCAGUGGCGAACGGGUGAGUAACACGUGAGCAACCUGCCCCUGACUCUGGAAUAAGCGCUGGAAACGGCGUCUAAUACUGGAUACGAGAAGGGUCCGCAUGGGCACUUUCUGGAAAGUUCUUCGGUUGGGGAUGGGCUCGCGGCCUAUCAGCUUGUUGGUGAGGUAAUGGCUCACCAAGGCGACGACGGGUAGCCGGCCUGAGAGGGCGACCGGCCACACUGGGACUGAGACACGGCCCAGACUCCUACGGGAGGCAGCAGUGGAGAAUAUUGCACAAUGGGCGAAAGCCUGAUGCAGCGACGCCGCGUGAGGGAUGACGGCCUUCGGGUUGUAAACCUCUUUCAGCAGGGAAGAAGCGAAAGUGACGGUACCUGCAGAAGAAGCACCGGCUAACUACGUG
rnacentral:rRNA from 1 species